rnacentral:rRNA from 1 species
CGGAAAUUAACUUCGGUUAAUUUUAGUGGCGGACGGGUGAGUAACACGUGAGAAUUCGCCUUUAGGAGGGGGAUAACGGAUGGAAACAUUCGCUAAAACCCCAUAUGCCCCUGGGUGAAACAGAGGAGAUAAGUAAAACUGACUCUUACCUCUGCCUGAAGAGAAGCUCGCGGCUGAUUAGCUAGUUGGUAGGGUAAAGGCCUACCAAGGCGACGAUCAGUAGCUGGUCUGGGAGGACGAUCAGCCACACUGGAACUGAGACACGGUCCAGACUCCUACGGGAGGCAGCAGUGAGGAAUUUUCUGCAAUGGGCGAAAGCCUGACAGAGCAAUACCGCGUGAGGGAUGAAGACUUACUGAGUUGUAGACCUCGGUACCUUAAGGAAGAAGAUCUGACGGUACUUAAGGUGGAAAGCAUCGGCUAACUCCGUGCCAGCAGCCGCGGUAAGACGGGGGAUGCAAGUGUUAUCCGGAUUUACUGGGCGUAAAGCGUCUGCAGGUGGUUUUCUAAGUCUACUGUUAAAUCUUGAGGCUCAACCUCAAAUCUGCAGUAGAAACUAGAAGACUUGAGUAUAGUAGGGGUAGAGGGAAUUUCCAGUGGAGCGGUGAAAUGCGUAGAUAUUGGAAAGAACACCGAUGGCGAAGGCACUCUACUGGGCUAUUACUGACACUCAGAGACGAAAGCUAGGGGAGCAAAUGGGAUUAGAUACCCCAGUAGUCCUAGCCGUAAACGAUGGAUACUCGAUGUUGGACGUAUCAACCCGUUCAGUAUCUUAGCUAACGCGUUAAGUAUCCCGCCUGGGGAGUACGCUCGCAAGAGUGAAACUCAAGGAAUUGACGGGGGCCCGCACAAGCGGUGGAGGAUGUGGUUUAAUUCGAUGCAACGCGAAGAACCUUACCAGGGUUUGCUAGAAGUGUUUGGUUUUCUGAAAAGAAUUCCUUUAUUCCG